CUCUGCUAGAGGCCAGCAUGAGCAGAGAGAACAGGAAGAGCUCCCAGGGAUGGGAUGCGAGUGUUCUCCUCCGACAAGUCAUCUUCACUGAUCCCAGGGCAGUGUGGCUACAGCUGUCCAGCAAGGUCACUCCAGCAAGGUUCUGGUUCUUUACUAAAAUGAUGAUCAGUCAGAACAGUGCCCAGCUGUUUUUCACAGGACUCAAGGAAGAGAAGGUGGGACCCAUCCUGUCCCUAAAGGGCAGAGUCCAGCAUAACAUUGACAGCUGGGGGGCUGUCCCAAAGCUCCUUGACCUCACUGGAUCUCUCAAACGGAAGAACUACAGCAAUGAGGGGAACUUCAGUAUCCUCAUUGAUGAUGCCAUGUUUGGGUUCCGUCUGAGGGACAAACACAUGUUGGGGAACAGCAGCGUGCAUAGCGUGACCUGUGUGAUGAUUCAGAACGGCAGUCAGGCCAUCCCUGAGGAGCUUAAGCUGAGGGGACAGCUGCAGACCCAGCCUGAUGGCUACCACGCCCAUGCCACCCUUCAUGCCGAUGAGACCACUUUGUCCUGGGCACAACCUGCAUCAUAGCUCCAGGGCAGAGGCAGCUCUCUGCCAAUCUGGCCCACAACAGUAACAUUUUAAGACAAUCAGGUAGGAAGGCAGAAAGAACCCUGACCCUGCACUGGGGAUGGAUUGGGGUU
rnacentral:lncRNA from 1 species